rnacentral:rRNA from 1 species
AAAUUGAAGAGUUUGAUCAUGGCUCAGAUUGAACGCUGGCGGCAGGCCUAACACAUGCAAGUCGAACGGUAACAGGAAACAGCUUGCUGUUUCGCUGACGAGUGGCGGACGGGUGAGUAAUGUCUGGGAAACUGCCUGAUGGAGGGGGAUAACUACUGGAAACGGUAGCUAAUACCGCAUAACGUCGCAAGACCAAAGAGGGGGACCUUCGGGCCUCUUGCCAUCGGAUGUGCCCAGAUGGGAUUAGCUAGUAGGUGGGGUAACGGCUCACCUAGGCGACGAUCCCUAGCUGGUCUGAGAGGAUGACCAGCCACACUGGAACUGAGACACGGUCCAGACUCCUACGGGAGGCAGCAGUGGGGAAUAUUGCACAAUGGGCGCAAGCCUGAUGCAGCCAUGCCGCGUGUAUGAAGAAGGCCUUCGGGUUGUAAAGUACUUUCAGCGGGGAGGAAGGGAGUAAAGUUAAUACCUUUGCUCAUUGACGUUACCCGCAGAAGAAGCACCGGCUAACUCCGUGCCAGCAGCCGCGGUAAUACGGAGGGUGCAAGCGUUAAUCGGAAUUACUGGGCGUAAAGCGCACGCAGGCGGUUUGUUAAGUCAGAUGUGAAAUCCCCGGGCUCAACCUGGGAACUGCAUCUGAUACUGGCAAGCUUGAGUCUCGUAGAGGGGGGUAGAAUUCCAGGUGUAGCGGUGAAAUGCGUAGAGAUCUGGAGGAAUACCGGUGGCGAAGGCGGCCCCCUGGACGAAGACUGACGCUCAGGUGCGAAAGCGUGGGGAGCAAACAGGAUUAGAUACCCUGGUAGUCCACGCCGUAAACGAUGUCGACUUGGAGGUUGUGCCCUUGAGGCGUGGCUUCCGGAGCUAACGCGUUAAGUCGACCGCCUGGGGAGUACGGCCGCAAGGUUAAAACUCAAAUGAAUUGACGGGGGCCCGCACAAGCGGUGGAGCAUGUGGUUUAAUUCGAUGCAACGCGAAGAACCUUACCUGGUCUUGACAUCCACGGAAGUUUUCAGAGAUGAGAAUGUGCCUUCGGGAACCGUGAGACAGGUGCUGCAUGGCUGUCGUCAGCUCGUGUUGUGAAAUGUUGGGUUAAGUCCCGCAACGAGCGCAACCCUUAUCCUUUGUUGCCAGCGGUCCGGCCGGGAACUCAAAGGAGACUGCCAGUGAUAAACUGGAGGAAGGUGGGGAUGACGUCAAGUCAUCAUGGCCCUUACGACCAGGGCUACACACGUGCUACAAUGGCGCAUACAAAGAGAAGCGACCUCGCGAGAGCAAGCGGACCUCAUAAAGUGCGUCGUAGUCCGGAUUGGAGUCUGCAACUCGACUCCAUGAAGUCGGAAUCGCUAGUAAUCGUGGAUCAGAAUGCCACGGUGAAUACGUUCCCGGGCCUUGUACACACCGCCCGUCACACCAUGGGAGUGGGUUGCAAAAGAAGUAGGUAGCUUAACCUUCGGGAGGGCGCUUACCACUUUGUGAUUCAUGACUGGGGUGAAGUCGUAACAAGGUAACCGUAGGGCUGCGGUUGGAUCACCUCCUUA